UCAGCGCAAAGGCAGCUACCAACCAAACUCGGAGAGAUUUGAUGCUUGACGCCAAGAGUCACGAUUUAAUUCGGAGCGGAAGCAGCGUUCCCGGAUUCCUUCAGCCCUCAGAAGACAGAGGUCGGCUUCCCUCUGCGAGGAGAGGGCCUAAUUCGUUUCUUCUGACAUUGCGGGGGCAGGGGGGUGCCUGAGUGGAGAGAAAACGGAGCCGCUCCGUGAAGAGGCGCAGAGACACCGAAUCUUCAUUGGGAGGAUGCUUAAAACCCUGGUCUCCAUGACUGCGCUGCUCCUUGUUUCCAGCGGAGCGGUGGAGGGGAAGGUUUCUCAGCCUGCUGCGCUGCUUUUCCUGGCGGGGGGCAGGGCUGACCUCCCCUGUAACCACAGUGUCACUGGCUACGAGAGAACUUUUUGGUACUAUCAGCGCCCCGGAGCUGCCCCUCGAGCUGUGAUUUCUGGCUACAACUCCGCGGAGACGUCGGAGCGGUUUGAACUGUCCAUUGACCCCUCCGGCCGGUCCGCCCCGCUGCGCAUCACCAAGGUGGCGGUGGAGGAGUCGGGGGUGUAUUACUGCGCCGUGAGAGGCACAGCGAGAGGAAAUGCAGGGCCAGCUGAACAAAAACCUCCCCGAGUCUGAGCUUCCUUCUCUUCCGGCCCAGGACUCCCACACAGAUAAUCAAAUUGAGGGCUGGGAUCCUCAAAGGAGCCAGGAGAGUCGGCCCAUUGAACCCCAGUGAGCAAUAAGCGCCUGACCCCCUUGGGCUCUUUUGAAAAUCUCAGCUUUGAACAACACCAUAUAGAAAUUCAUGACUGUAUCCAAAGUGACUCAGGCAAUUAGAAGCCUAAUUGUUAUGGUCUUGCAAUGAAAAUAAGGCUCCGAAGGGUUAGAUUUGCAAAGGUAUUUAGGGACCUAAAGAUAGAGAGAGGCACCAGGGA